rnacentral:rRNA from 1 species
UNNGCUCGUACCGUGGACACCUACCCUCCGGACGGGUAUAAACCCGGGAAACUGGGUAUAAUCCCCGAUAGAUCUCGGUCGCUGGAAUGCCCCGAGAUCGAAAGCUCCGGCGCCAGAGGAUGGGUCUGCGGCCUAUCAGGUAGUAGUGGGUGUAGCGUACCUACUAGCCUACGACGGGUACGGGUUGUGAGAGCAAGAGCCCGGAGAUGGAUUCUGAGACACGAAUCCAGGCCCUACGGGGUGCAGCAGGCGCGAAAACUUUACAAUGCUGGCAACAGCGAUAAGGGAACCUCGAGUGCCAGGUUACAAAUCUGGCUGUCGAGAUGCCUAAAAAGCAUUUCAUAGCAAGGGCCGGGCAAGACCGGUGCCAGCCGCCGCGGUAACACCGGCGGCUCGAGUGGUAACCGUUAUUAUUGGGUCUAAAGGGUCUGUAGCCGGCCGGAUAAGUCUCUUGAGAAAUCUGGCAGCUUAACUGUCAGGCUUUCAGGAGAUACUGUCUGGCUCGAGGCCGGGAGAGGUGAGAGGUACUUCAGGGGUAGGGGUGAAAUCUUGUAAUCCUUGAAGGACCACCAGUGGCGAAGGCGUCUCACCAGAACGGACCUGACGGCAAGGGACGAAAGCUAGGGGCACGAACCGGAUUAGAUACCCGGGUAGUCCUAGCCGUAAACGAUACUCGCUAGGUGUCGGCCACGGUGCGACCGUUGUCGGUGCCGUAGGGAAGCCGUGAAGCGAGCCACCUGGGAAGUACGGCCGCAAGGCUGAAACUUAAAGGAAUUGGCGGGGGAGCACCACAACGGGUGGAGCUUGCGGUUUAAUUGGAUUCAACGCCGGAAAUCUUACCGGGACCGACAGCAAUAUGAAAGGCCAGGCUGAAGACUUUGCCGGAUUAGCUGAGAGGUGGUGCAUGGGCCGUCGUCAGUUCGUACUGUGAAGCAUCCUGUUAAGUCAGGCAACGAGCCGAAGACCCCAA